rnacentral:rRNA from 1 species
CCGCAAGGUUAAAACUCAAAUGAAUUGACGGGAGCCCGCACAAGCGGUGGAGCAUGUGGUUUAAUUCGAUGCAACGCGAAGAACCUUACCUGGUCUUGACAUCCAGAGAAUCCUGCAGAGAUGCGGGAGUGCCUUCGGGAACUCUGAGACAGGUGCUGCAUGGCUGUCGUCAGCUCGUGUUGUGAAAUGUUGGGUUAAGUCCCGCAACGAGCGCAACCCUUAUCCUUUGUUGCCAGCGGUCCGGCCGGGAACUCAAAGGAGACUGCCGGUGAUAAACCGGAGGAAGGUGGGGAUGACGUCAAGUCAUCAUGGCCCUUACGACCAGGGCUACACACGUGCUACAAUGGCGCAUACAAAGAGAAGCGACCUCGCGAGAGCAAGCGGACCUCAUAAAGGGCGUCGUAGUCCGGAUUGGAGUCUGCAACUCGACUCCGUGAAGUCGGAAUCGCUAGUAAUCGUGGAUCAGAAUGCCACGGUGAAUACGUUCCCGGGCCUUGUACACACCGCCCGUCACACCAUGGGAGUGGGUUGCAAAAGAAGUAGGUAGCUUAACCUUCGGGAGGGCGCUUACCACUUUGUGAUUCAUGACUGGGGUGAAGUCGUAACAAGGUAACCGUAGGGGAACCUGCGGUUGGAUCACCUCCUUA